UAUUCAGAUUUUCAUAUAGAAAUUAGAAGAUGUCUCUUUCCUAUUUGAGGUUGGAGCUACUUUAUGUUUAUUAUGCUUUUAUGAUCCAAAGGGGCUUCAGAGGCUGACCAUCACACAUAGUUGAGAAUAGAGAAUUGGUCCUCAUCUACGCCAAAAUUAAUCCUGUGAUCAAUUUUGGAAAAUAGUAAUGUUUUAUAAUCCUGUUCUGCUUUUGUUGGAUGUUAUUACUUUGGAGUUAUCUAUUACCUGCAAGAUCCAUUGUUUCUCACAUGUGAUUGAAAUAGAUCAUCUCAUGAUGGAGGCAGAGCUGACACAAUGUUGUACUGGAGGUAU
rnacentral:lncRNA from 1 species